rnacentral:lncRNA from 1 species
UGUAACCCACAACAAAAACUAUGUUAAUAAAAGAAUGUUCAGAAAAUUUCAACUUAUGAGGAAGACUUACUAGGUACCAACUAUUCUGCUUGUGUUCUCUUGGGUUUGGUCCAAUCCAAAGAUCCUAGCCAUUCCAAAAUCUGCAAUUUUAGGAUUCAUAUCCGCAUCCAAGAGAAUGUUACUGGCUUUGAGGUCCCGGUGUAUGAUUGUGAGUCGUGAAUCUUGAUGAAGAUACAAAAUCCCUCGAGCAACUCCACCAAUAAUCUUGUAUCGCCGAGUCCAAUCCAACUGACUCUGCUUUGCAGGGUCUGUACACAUCCAUAAAUCACAGUUAGCUCUAAAGACUUGUAAUCCCUAGUUUCAAGAUUGGUUAAAGAAUCAUUGAAACAAAGCAUUAAAUGCAACUAACCAAAGAGGAAGUAAUCCAGACUUUUGUUGGGUACAUACUCGUAGACUAAUACCCUUUCUUCUCCGUCUAGACAAAACCCGAGAAGUCUAACCAGAUUUCUAUGCUGUAGCUUUGCAACAAGAACAACCUCGUUCUUGAACUCUGCUUCACCUUGUCCUGAUAACUUUGAUAGUCUCUUCACCGCAACUUCAGUCCCAUCCGAUAAAGUACCCUGUUGUUUUCAUCAGCAUUAUCCCAUUAUACAUAUGUGUUCACACAAAGUUUCAAGAAGAAAAAAAACACAGCUCAAGGGAACUGUAAUUACCUUGUAAACCUCACCAAAUCCACCUUGACCAAUCUUAUUACUCUCUGCAAAAUCAUCUGUUGCAGUUUGAAUUUUUCUAUAAUCAAGCUGCAGUGAGUCUGCAGUUGUAAUAUCAUCUCCUGUUGCACAAUGAAAGUCUUAGAAGCAGGAAAAAGAAGCUGAGCUUUGACAUUAAUCAAAAUUCAAACCCAAAUAAAGAUCGUUCAUCACUUGAAAUCUUUACCAUCAAAUGCAGAUGUUGUGUCAUAAGUCUUCUUUGCCCUUUUUGCAAUGAAACAAUAACCAACGAUGAAAAGCAGAACAGCCACUAUAAUAGGCACAACAAUGGCUAUCACUAAUACAGUUGAAUUCCCACCUUUCCCUGCUUUCCAAAGAUCAUUUGCUUAAGAUCAGACAAUGACAAACGAAUAGCAAAUCCAAAUUAAGUCAAAAGAAGCAAAGUUGCCUUAUUAGUAUUGCUCAUAUCAAGAAAUCAGGGCAGAAAAACAGAGGAAGAGAUUAGAUCAUGUAAGACACAUAGCAGCAAGUUAGCAACGCGAAAUUCUGUCGAAAGAAUGAAUAUUUUUAUAUAUUUUUGUCAAUUUCGUUGAAUUACGGCAAAAGCUAACAGAGGAAAUGGACAGAGCACUGACCAGGUCGAGGAGGAGCAGACACCGGAGGAGUAGAAACCGGCGGUGGAGGUGGUGGUGAAGGUGUAGUAAUGGCGGAUUCGUUGUAAAACGCGUAAAGCUCGAAUCUUGAACUACAGCUCUGCAUCAUAAAUCUUCCCCCAAUUUUAUCAGUGGGCAAUUGAUUGAUGCUCUGUUGAAGACAACUCAAACAGUCUUGUCUCGUCAGAUCAGGAGUGCACUGAACCAGUCCGUACAAUUUCUGCAACGCAGUGAAGUUGGCUUUUCUGGCAUCAAAUUUUCUGGAAUUGCUGGCAGCUUCAGCGGCGGCUUGGUUCAUCGUGGUCCCGACCAAAUCUCUGAAUUGGUCUAGUUGGUUAGAUGUAACAUUCUGGGGGUUCCACAUAAACACUCCUCCACCGGUGCUUAGGGUUGAGAGUAUGUUCCCGUUAGAGUAUCUGAGCAUACACUGGUCGUAGUAGAUUGUGACCUCUUUCUCAUUCGAACACCGACUUAAGGUGUCGUUUACAGCAAAGGUGACGCAGCGACGACAAACUUCCGGCGAUAAGUCUCCACGGCAGAGGAAAAGCCCGGUGACUCUGUCGGGAGCUUGCCCUGCGGUGGCGUUUUGGAAACUGGUGGAGUAUGAAGCGUUACUGGAAGAGAGAGAAGCCAAAACGGUUCUGAGAUUGGUUAAGUAAGUGCUGUUUCUUGAAUACGUUGUCGUGUUCGGACAGAUUUGGUAUAGGAAAGUGUGAUCUUGAUCUUGAGCAGAAACUUUGAAGCUAGUGAGGAAGGAGAAGAGGAAGAUGAAAGAUAUAAGAGAAGACAUAACUGGGCUUUCUUGAUUUGUGUUUCUCAUCAAGCUUUUGGGAAGGAAACUCGGUUAUAUGAAAUAAAAUUGAAUUUUUGUUCUCGCUGUGACUAGUGUCUAGCGUGAAACAGAGGAUGGUUUUGUGACGACGAAAAGUCAAGGUCAAAGUAAACGCGUCUUGUAUUGAAUUGUCCUGUCCUGCCCAAUUUGUCUUCAGCUAGCUACUAAUCCAUUACUAAUUUUUAAGAGAUAAUUAGCUCAGAGAUAAGGGAUCUGAGCUUAAAUUAGUUUUUGAUAAAAUCUUGUCGGGACCUAAAACAAUUGCAACAUUAGUCCAUUAUCUUUCCGUUUUUAGCCUCACUCGCUAAGAGAAAUGCAACAGUUUUUUUUGUUUCUUUCGAGACGAAUAUGCGUGUAUAUGUAUAUUUGUCAAGCAUUUGUUGUUCUAUUAUAGAUAUACAUAGAUCUACUUAGAUCCACAUCUCUACUUUAUAGAUCUGUAUUUUGAUGUGCAUCUUUUUUUGUAGAUAUCUAUUUAUUUUCUUUUAUUCCCACUUGAUGUUGAUACAUAACUUACUGUUUAAUUUUUUUACUGUUUAGAAAUAUGGCUGAUCUGGAGCUUUUUUCCCGAUUGUUUGCCGAUAGAGAGGACCUCCUGGCGAUAGGGUGAAUAUGUACUUCAAGCUCAAUACGAUCAAGGUUGUGUUGAAAGCUCUUACACCUAAAGAGAAUGAAACCAUUAGGCCUUACUUUGGAAAACUUCUUGAUGUCUACUCCAAACUUGUCUUCUCUGGCAAAUUGGCUCACUUUCUGUUAAUCCGAUAGCUUAAUGUUGUCAAGCGACAAAAUUCAAAAGUUUUUCCAUGUACUUGUUUUCAUUCCAUUGCUUUCACGAUUAAAUAGUAUCUAGUUUUUUUUUGUGUUUUUCUCGCUUCCCUCACUAAAUUUCGUCUCCAUAUCCACAAAUCUAUUUAGAUCCGCAAUUUUUUAAUUAUUCCUGAGUUUAGAUAUUCAACUUCCCCUGUAGAUCUAUAUUUAUUCAUGUAUAUUUUGUCAAACAUCUAUUGUUUGUUUUAGAUAUCCACAAAUCUAUUUAGAUCUGUAUCUAUUCAUUUAUAUUUACCAAGCAUAUGUUGUUUUAUUGUAGAUAUCCACAUAUCUACUUAGACACUCUGCAGGUUUGCAUUAAAUGGAAGUCGCCUCCUUCCUUCUGUCACCGCAGCAAAGACGACGCAGCUACGGCAAACUUCUGUCGAGAGAUCUCCACGGCAAUUAAAAAGUCCGGUGACUCUGUCUGGAGCUUGCCCGACGGUGGCGUUUUGGAAGCCGGUGGAGUAGGAAGCGUUGCGGGAAGAAAGAGAAGCCAAAAGGGUUCUGAGAUUGGUGUUGUAAAGGCUGUUACUCGAGUAAUUUGCCGUAUUUGAACAGAUGUGAUAUACGUAAGUGGGAUCUUGAGCAGAAACUCUGAAACUAGUGAGAAAGGAGAAGAGGAAAAGGAAGAAGAAAGAGGCGUAAUAAGACAUUACUGGGGUUUCUUGAUUUGUGUUUCUUCUUCUCAUCAAGCUUUGGGAAAAUUCUGAUAUAUGAAACAAAUUUGAUUUUUUGUUCUCUCUCGGUGACUAGUAGUGACUACUGUAGAUAGCGUGAAACAGAGGUUGGUUUUGCGACGACGAAAAGUCAAGGUCAAGGUAAACGCGUCUCGUAUUGAAUUGUCGGGUCCUGUUCCACUUGUGUUCAGUUACUAAAUGUCUAAAUCAUUACUAAUUUUUUAAUAUGUGAUAACAAAAAAAAAGGAAUUGGCAAAAAGAUUUGAUAAAUGGAAAAUUAAUUUGUAUAGCUAGAAGCCUGGAAGAAAUUAUAACAAAAUAAAAACCUAUUUCAAAAUUAAGAAAAUUGUCAAAACAGUCAAAUUUAAAACAUUUUAACUCUAAAUUUAAGCUUUAAACUCUGAAUUCUCAAUUUUCUUGAGUACUUUGUUGCAAAACUACAUUUUAUUGCAAAGAAAUAGACAAUCGGCAGUUGGGAUUUUCAGAACAAAAUAAAUGUAGCUGCUGGCAUGGUUUCAAAGAUCUUAAUUACUAGUAGUAGAAUUUAGAUAGGAUACAUGAGAGAAACUACUAGUAUAGAAUUUGUUUCGUAUACUCUUUCUUGAAUAGAGAAUUAUUGAAAUUAGGAAUCGUUGUUGACUAUUCUUCAAAAAAACAUUGUGGGGCUGAAAAUUUGUCGCCACUGAUGCUGGAAAGUUCUUAAUAUUCCACAUGACAUCAUAAUUCCAUUCUUGAUUCGUGUUUUCACCCAAACAUGAAUCUACAGCAUAUAAUUUUUUUUUUUACAUCAUACGAAUGUUAUUUGUUUAAAACGAAUUUUGCAUCCGUAAGGUCCAUCUAAUUGCAAAGGUGUUUUAAUUUCUAUGAGUUUAUAUGAAUUUGAAAUAUUUCCUUUUUGGCAUUCACAUAUACAUAAAGAAAAGGAAAAUAAAACAAGAAAUACAAAACAGAGAAGAAAAAUUUGAGAAAUCUCUUCUUUUUGGUAUUAUAUAGGUUCUCAUGUCCAAGCACAAAACGUUAAAGGCAGCGACGCUGCUCCGUAAGGCUGCAUGAUACGGGCUUAUGAGACCUCCGCCAUGACUUCUUCGUGAAGAAGACAAUUGGCUUUGUUAAUCUGUGACGUAUACUUCAGGGUUCUACAACCAUUAGAUCCUAUUAGAUCGGUUGCCCCUUUAUCAAGUAUUUUUCACUUUUUCCCUCGUUUAAACAAACACAAGAAACGUAUUCGCAUGAAACAUACGGAAGAAGAAUAAGAAACUAGGAUUUUAAUGGAACUAUUGGAAAGAAAGACUAAUCCUAACUUAAGAAGCCAAACAAUUAUUUACAUGCACGAAUAACCUAAUAUAUAAUGGAAGAAUUACGUUACGAAACCUAGAAAGAAUGUGAGGUAGACGAAAAAGGGGAGGAUAUGAGGAAGAUGAGAUGACCAAACCUAGAGGGUGUUGUGUAUAUAUAUAUACACAUGACUUAUGCGGUGUAUGUAGCCAAAACCCUAGCUAGUUCUUUUUAUUUUAUUUUAAUGAUUAUUCAAAACCCUAGUCUUUAAAAAGUACUAAUUCUUUUCCGUAACCGCCAAGGAAAAACAAUCGGCUUUUUUCAUGCAACAAAUCUCGUUAAAAUUGGUUAUGGGCCUGCCUAUGAGAAUGGAAGCCAGAAGAGGACUCGGUCAAUGCUUCGAGAAAAAAAAUGCUUCGAGAACAUUUGCGUGAUAUAUUGGGCCUUCUUUCCCAAAAGCCCAAUUUGCAUCAUGAUUCUUCAAUCCAUCGACACACAUAUCUUCUUCGUUCUCGUUAUUGUCGUGAGAGUGCUGCUCAUGUGCUGCAGACAAAUUGAGAAGGAGACACUUGGAAUUUGUAUCCACAAAAGCCACGUUCAUAUUUUUAUGUGAUAAUAGCAAUUUAGUUCUGUUAUUUUCAACACAAAAAUCCACCUCCUGCAUUCUCUUUGUACUAAAAGCUCCAUUGGUGAAGAAAAAAUCAACGUGAUCUACGACACAUAUGUCUUCAUCGUAGACGUCAUACACCGGAUCACCAAUAAUAUCCUUGUAAUUUCCAAACAAGUCUUCUCUUGACAUAAAUGAAUAUUCAUCGGUUUGAUAAAAACACCCGAACGACAUGGUAAACGAAGAACCGAUUCGGCUCUAAUACCAACUGACGUAGCGGAAGCUUUAAGGAUAGAUUACGAAAGUAAUCUUGAGUAUUAAUGGAUCUCAAGCAAGACAAUUGUAGCUCGGAAUUCUAGUGUUAUCGGAGAUCAAUGGAUUCACGAUAAACAAAGACUUCGUUUGAGAAUACUCCAAAUGAUGGAGCGGAAGCUUCUAGGGAUAGAACUAGAUCCGUUGAUUCUGAGAAUACCCGGAAACUAGGGUUUGAGAGUCCUCCUCUCAGAGUUUUCACAAAAGCUCUUAGAUUGUGAAUACUCUUCACAGUGUUUAUAAAAACCUCUUUAAAUCUUUCGAUUAAUCAAUUCAUCAAUAACUUAAUACAAUAGGAGACAUAAGAAGGCUAUUUAUAAUAAAACAUAAAAACCCUAAAACUUAGAAUAUUCUAGAAUAAUUAUAAUUAAUAAAUUAAAAGAUAAUAUAAAUAGAUAUUUAGAAAUAUUCCAAAUAUCUCGCUGCAUCAGGUCUCGUCGGCCAAGAAAAGAUUCGUCCUCGAAUCUUGUUUCUACGCUGCAUCAAAACUUCUUCAGUUGAUUGGAAAAAUCAGAGGCAAUUUAUCAAAGACAAGAGAAGCUAAACCUAAUUUUCAGACCAAAAAUAAAAUAAACGAAACUGAACCUAUUUUUUCAAAUUUUAAAGAACACGUCAAAAAAGAGCAAAACGAAUCAAGGUAUCCUAGAGCGCCAUUAGAACCAAAAUGCUAAAAUGAGUAAAUUAACCAAUUUAUAGAAAUUCGUUUUAUUUCGACAACAACAAAUGGUUUUUAAUGGUGGCAUGAAGAGAAGAUAGGAUUAAAUCCAAAACUUAUGACCAACUUUACAAACAACAAAAGAUAUCAACGGACAAAAUGUUACCCUUAAUUUGUAUUUAAAGGUUCCCAGUUUCCAAUCUUUAAACCAAAAUACACAUCUUAUUAAUAUAGGCCACAAAAAAUUUCAUACCAUUAUAUGUUUUUUUCUUCUAUUUACUGAGAGAAUAGAUUUGCUUUGGAGACAAUUUUUAGAUAUUUUAUUACUUCUUAUAGAAAUUUUGUUCGUUAUACAUAAUGUUACAAACUCUUUUUUAACAAAAAAAAAGUAUUGUCCACAAAUUAUAGGAAAUUGGAAAAAAAAAAAAAAAAAAAAAAAGAACGAAACAAUUUAUAGCUAGGAUCAUAUAGGAGACAAAAAUAUAGAUUAUCCUUGACUUAGUCAUUAGAGAUUAUCCUUGACUUAGUCAUUAGAGGAAAUGUAAUUCAACGUUGAUUUGGAUCGAAAGAAGCGUGAGAGACGACCAUAUAUAUGUCCACAAGUCUAUAGGUGGUUGGCAUUUUAUGGAGACCAAUAAACUUUAGAAUUGGCACUAUUGCAAGGGGCCGGGAAACAAGUUAAAAAGAAAAAACCUCUAACUUUUGUGAAUUUGCCAAACAAAUUCUAUUAGAUAAGUUAAAGAGAAAUUAAAGGAAUAUUAAGGUUUGUCUUUAGUUCAACUGCUUUCACUAAUUUUCAUUUUAUCUGAGUGCCCUGCAAAGAAGUGUAAGAUAUACUCUUGUUUAUAGCUUUAUUCACUAGAGAAUGAAGACAAAAGGGUUCAGAGAAUUAAUGGCGUAAUUGUUGAUUCUUCGACAGUAAGUUUGUUCUGCUGGAACAGAGUGAUUCUGAAAAUCUAAUACAGAGUUUGUAAAGAUAACAAGGUAAAGUACUUUUGUGCAAAAAAAAAAAAAAAAAAAAAAACAAGGUAAAGUACUAUAAUAGGAAGUCAACGACUAUAGAAGUCAACCUUCCACUGUGAGUGUUAAUUGGUUUUGAAGAAAUGAAGGGUUUUUUAGCAAAGUAGACACUUUUAGAAAAAUAAUUUGCAAAGUAGGUAGUUUUUUUAAAAAAUAGAGAAAUAGACACUUUUUUUACUUUUUGUGAGAUAUAACUUUUGUCUAAUAGACUAAAAGACAAAAUAGUUAUCAAAUACUAAAAUAUCCCUUAUCUUGAGAGAGAAUAAACAAAAUAUGAGGGACCACUUUUAUUUUGUUACUUUCUUCUUUAUCUAUUUGGUUCUUUUUUCUCCUUGAAUUAUUAUUUUUAAAGAGAAUUUUUUUUUAAUCACCUGAAUUAUAUAUUUUUUUGGCACUAUUCUCAUACACAAACAUUUAAAAAAUCGUUUUGUACACUAACACUUGUACACUAAAUCAUCUUGUACACCGAUAUUUCAUAAAUCAUCAAGUACACCGAUUUUCUUGUACUUAUAAAUUGAAGUAAUAAUUGUUUAGAAUAUUUGUACAAAUAUGGUGAUUGUAUAAACCGAAUGUUAUAUUUAAUAUGAUGGUGUACAUGAUGGUGUACACAAUUAAAUUACUUUUGAUGGUAUACAUAAUGAUAUAAACCAUUAUGAUGUACGAGAUUGGUGGAUGGAAUUGUGUACACAAGUUUUAAAUGACAGCAUACAAGACUGGUAGAUAAAGUGUACAAAACUUGGUGUACAGUACUUAUAGGGAAUGUAUAAACCAUUAUUUCAAUUUAAUGGUGUACGUCAUCUCGUACACUGAUGUUUGUACAAAAUAUGUGAAGGUGUACGAUGUUGUAGAGGGCACACAAGGUGGUGUAUGGUGCGACCCACUAUCUCAUCAUUUCAUGUACAUUAAUAAUAUUGUGUACACCGCACUUUACAUCAUCAUCGUACACCAUCGUAUUAUGUAGUUAUACACCAUUAUAGAUUAUCAUUUGUACACCAUCUUGUGCACUAUCAUACUCUGUAUACCACUUUCUAAACUCAGUAUCAUAUAUUACUUCUUAUAUUCUUGAUGUACACUACCGUUUGUACACCACCGUUUACAUUAUUACGUACACCGUCGGGUUAAGAUUAAAUAAUAAAAAAGUGUUACGUAUCCGCAAAUAUAGCAAAAUUAGACAUUUUAAAUUCACAUAAAUUUUUUAAAGAUUAAGAUGUUGUUGUAAUAAUUUAUUUUUAUUAAGAAUUUAUAGCAAAACAAAUUAAAAGUAUUUAAGUGAAAAUAAGAAAGAGAAAAAAGAAAAUCUUUGACUAUAAGUCAAUUUUGUCAUUAUCUAACAAAACAACAAAACAAGAAAAGGUUAUAUAAGUCAUUUACUAAAAUCUCUAUUACACAAAAAAGUUGUAUUAGAGAAGAAAGAGAAAAGUGUCUAUUAUUCUAAUUUCUAAAAAAACUACCUACUUUACAAAUUAUUUGUUAAAAAAGUGUCUACUUUACAUAAUUUCUCAGAAAUGAAGGCUAGAAUCUGAAUCAACUAGGGUUGUGAAAAUACUGUUUUAGCUUACAACUGUUUGUUUGUUACUUGUCUCGUACGGAAGUUUAAUGGUGUUGUCUUAUUGACCCAGAUUCUCCGCGCGUAGCAGAAUAAUCAUCAACCUAUUAAAUAUUUAACUCCAUUACGUUUAUCAUUCUGGGAAGUAGAAAGAUUUAUAAUUCGAUUUUCUCUGGUUAUCGCUUUCACAUGUUUUUAGUCUAACAUUUAAAUAACAAUAAAAGUUGAUGUUACUCGUAUAGUUGACUUUGACUUUCAUGAAAUUUGUAUUAGAACACAAAACUUUGACGUGGUGGAUGGUUUAACAUUUUCAUUCAUUGGUAUUAUUUAGUAGUUUAGUACGCAUGAACCAGUAAAGAUAACAAGAAAGAAAAAAAAAACAGAGGAGAAAGGAUAACAAAUUAAUUAGAUAAUGUCUGCUUAUACCUCAUUAAACUCUCUCUUCCUUCUCACAUUUUUCUUUGCAAGCUUGAGAGCUUCUGCACAUUUACAGGACCUGACUUACGUCGGCCAUAGUUGCAGUAAGACGACAUCAACAAACAUCACUUACUUCUCAAAUCUCCAAACUCUUUUGACCUCUCUUUCUUCUAACAGUGCUUACUUCUCCUUGGGAUCUCAUAGUCUUACAAAGGGUCAAAACGCCAGCAUGGUAUUCGGACUUUAUCUCUGCAGAGGAGAUCUCUCGCCGGAAGAUUGUGGUGAUUGUGUCGUAAAUGCUUCUAAAGACGUUCGAAGUAGAUGUCUACGAGGGAAAGAGUUCUUGAUUCAGUAUGAUGAGUGCAUGCUUGGAUACACGGACCGGAAUAUUUUCAUGGAUGCUGUAACCACAAGGUCCACUCCUACAAUAAUCACUUGGAACACUCAGAAUAUUAAGGCGGACUUGGACCGGUUUAACGAUACUGUGUUUUCUCUGAUUAACAAGUCUGCAGUGGAAGCUGCUAAUAGCAAAUCGAAGAAAUUCGCGGUUAUUAAAUCGAAUUUCACUUCGUCCCUGACGGUAUAUUCAUCGGUUCAGUGUAUUCCUGAUCUGUCUAGUGGAGAAUGCUUAAGCUGUCUCCAACAGUCCAUCAAUGAAAUUUUUUUCACCAAAGUCGGAGGAAGAGUUCUUGUCCCGAGUUGUAACUUAAGGUACGAGAUUUACCCUUUCUACGAUGAAACCUCUGUGAAAACUCUCUCUCCAUUGCCGCCGGUUUCAGCUCCUCAAUUGCCAAUAAAGAUUCCUCACCCGGUUUUAGCUCCUCCACUGCCGGCUGGUAAAGGUGCUCUCUCUCUCUCUCUCUCUCUCUCUCUCUUUUUCUUUCAUUUGCUUGAUUGGAGUGAAACAGACAACUAUACAAGAUUUGUCUGAUCUAAUACUUUGUCAGGAAAAAGAGGAAAUUCCACGAGGGUAAUCUUAGAAAUUUGUGUGCCGGCGGCUUUCUCUGUUCUUCUUUUUGUGGCUGUAUUUACCUUCCGUUUGACAAAGAGAGUGAAGAAGACUAAUGACACAGCAGUUGCAGAUGAAGGUAGAGAUUCCAAAAUACUCUUGUUGUUUACUACUUAAAUUUUUGGUUUAUGAAGUUUAAUGCUAAAAACAUUUGGUUUUUGCAGAUGGGGAUGAUAUUUCAACGGCAGGCUCUCUGCAGUUUUGUUUUAAGGUUGUUGAAGCUGCGACAAAUAAAUUUUCAAUAUGUAACAAACUCGGUCAAGGUGGAUUCGGACAAGUUUACAAGGUACUACCAGUUCAUUGAGCUUCCUAAUUACUUUCAUAAGAGAUUCAAACUCUGUUUAAUUCACAAUCUUUUUAGGGCACACUUCCUAAUGGAGUACAAGUUGCCGUGAAGAGACUAUCGAAAACAUCGGGACAAGGUGAAAAAGAGUUCAAGAACGAAGUUGUUGUUGUGGCAAAGCUUCAGCACAGAAAUCUGGUCAAGCUUCUUGGAUUUUGUUUAGAGAGAGAAGAGAAAAUACUUGUCUACGAGUUUGUGUCUAAUAAAAGCCUUGAUUACUUCUUGUUUGGUAAGUUAAAUCAAUGCUUAGCAAAAUAUAUUUUAUUGUUGACAUUCUAACUAUAUGGAUGUGCAGACUCUAAAAAGCAGAGCCAGCUGGAUUGGACUACACGGUAUAAGAUCAUAGGAGGAAUUUCUAGAGGAAUAUUGUAUCUCCAUCAAGAUUCACGACUCACAAUCAUACAUCGAGACCUCAAAGCGGGUAACAUCCUCUUGGAUGCUGAUAUGAACCCGAAAAUUGCAGAUUUUGGAAUGGCGAGAAUUUUUGAAAUGGACCAAACAGAAGCCAAUACGAGAAGAGUAGUUGGAACCUAGUAAGUUUUGUUCUUGACAACUAUUAAAUGUUAAAUCCAUUUGUUAACUCAAACUUUUAUGCAUCGUGGCAGUGGUUACAUGUCACCUGAGUAUGCCAUGUACGGCCAAUUCUCAAUGAAAUCUGAUGUCUAUAGCUUUGGAGUCUUAGUUCUUGAGAUUAUAAGCGGGAGGAAGAACAGCAGCCUUUAUCAGAUGGAUGCUUGUUUGGGAAACUUGGUUACAUAUGUGAGUAUAAACACUUCAAAUAUACUACUUUUUCGCUCUAUGAAACAGUCACAAGGAUUUUUUAAGUCUUAAAAUGUGCUAUAGACUUGGAGGCUAUGGACCAAUGAGACGCCAUUAGAGCUUGUGGAUUCGUCCUUUCGAACGAAUUAUCAAAGAAACGAAAUAAUUAGAUGCAUCCAUAUCGCCUUAUUAUGUGUUCAAGAAGAUACUGAAGAUCGUCCAACUAUGUCAAUGAUCGUUCAAAUGCUUACUACUAGCUCGAUUUCCCUAGCUGCACCUCGACCACCUGGUUUUUUCUUCCGAAGUAAGCAUGAAGAAGCAGGUCCAUCAACAAAUAAAUCCUCUCUCUGUUCCAUUGAUGAUGCAUCCAUUACCAUGCUAACUCCUCGUUAAAUAACUCGUUUCAUAAACUAAAAACUAUUGCAAUUCCAAAAUUUACAGUUUUUGCGUUCAUAUUAGAAUCUAUGAAAAUGCUACUAGCUUUGAGGUCACGGUGUAUGAUUAUAAGUUGAGGUUUAUCAUAAAGACGCUUCCUCGAGCAUUGGCUCCAAUGAUGAGAAUCAAUCUGUCCCCUCAUUUUGAAUGGUCUGCAUAUAAUUAAAUAAAAAUGUAUAAAUAAUAUACAACCAGUCCCAUCAAUGUCUCUUGGGUUGACUCUUGUGUAGAUUUUUGUUGAGUCAACCGCAGAUUGUAACAAUUUUAUCGCACGCUAUAAAGUCCCGUAGGGCAGAGAUUCACAAUUGGAACAAACAAAUACGAAAUGGUCCACAAGGAGAAAAAACUAAAGAAAAUCAGACGAAGUCAACAUCAAGAAAGCGAGAGCAACCACUAUCGUAGACGAAUUAAUUUUUUUUUUUUUUUUAGACGAAUUAAUUAAGUUUGUGAGGAAGAGAGUUGGUGUAGCUUGAGACACGUUUCAAUCCCUUUGCUUUCCUCUUAGUGUAUGUAUAGUCUUCAGAGUUUGACAAGCCUCUUCUGGCUAUGAAAAUCUUUAAGAAAGCCUUCUUUGUUCUAUGAUAUAAAGUAAAUUAUCAGCUAAUAAAUAAGGUAGAUUACCGUUAACCCUAAACCCUAAUUCUCAUUUAAGAUUUAAAGAAACCCAUGAUUGUUUAUAGCCUGACUUCCCAUAAAAAUGGAAAGCAAGAAAGAGAUGUGAGUCAAUUAUGAUUGUUAACCAUUUUUCUCUGUUCAGUUAUUACGUGCCCGAGAAGUUAGGGGAACAAUGCUCUUAUUUUCUUUUUCUUUUUGGUAAAGGAAAACCUCUUUUUUCUUAAAAGAAUGCUCUUAUAUAUUUUCUUCUGAUUACUCUCCAUGCAAAGCCUCCAAAGUCCAACAGAAUGAUCAUCAAUAUAUUUCUAAUUCGUUGAAUUUAUCAGAACUAGACGGUCUUUAUAUUAAGGGUUUUGUGAAAAAACAUCAUCCAACUCGUCAACUCGUCAAAAUAAUACGCAAUAUAACCGUAAACGUUUUCACGAUCACAUACAUUAGAUUUUUAAAAUUCUAAAGGUAGAGUUAAAAUCCUUGUCGUGAGUACUUUCGAUUUCACAUAUCAUUCGUCAAAAUUUCACAAACUUAGACGGUAGUGAAAAAGGGUUACAUUGAAUAUUAUUUGACGGUAGUGAAAAAGGGUUACAUUGAAUUUUAUUUUUGACUUUGUAUCAUUAAUUUACAUUUUUUGUAAGUGAAGGAUAAAAUUGCAAAAAUCGGCGAGUUGGAGGUUUGUUUUGCACAAAACCAUUAUAUUAUGUCCACAAAAUUAAUUAAAGGUAUUAAAUCACAAAAAAAAAAAAAAGUUAAUCAAUUAAAGGACUUGUAUACACCAAAGAGAAGAUAAUUUGGAUUGAAAUGAAGACUAGUAUAUACAACGUAACUGAAAUCGGAAUUUACUAUUUUUCCAAGUUCUUUAGGAUCGGAGCGUCUGAAAAUUUAAGAAUGCAUAAUCGAACCAAUAAUUAACGUAAACGUCAUGAGAUCCGAUUAUAAAGAAAAACUCACUAUUAAAUCAAUACAAAACAUUAAAUAGGAUUGGCCACAUUUAGAAAUAUGUUCUUUUUUUUUUGAUACCCUAUCGGUUGAUCCGGUCAGCUCCGGUAGAAACGCACCGAAGUGCUUUAGAGUGGACUUCUCCCCGAAGGGCCACCACACUGUCUGUACGGAGUUAAUUUGGAAUGCUUUCCGACUAAUGCCAAGGGGUAGCGAGAUCGCCUGUUACUGACUACCAGGUAAACUGCCUAGGCCUUUGGCCAAGCCCAGACUUCCCACACAAAUGUGUUUUUUGUUUGCAGGGUGGAUCGAACCUGGGUUAGUUCCUUCCAACAUAAGCUUAAACUUAAUUUCAAUUAUACAUUAAUACCAAUUGAUCUUUAAGCGUGAAGGUGAAUACCAUAUUCAACGAGGAGUCGAGGAUAUAAAUCACUUAUAGAUGUCUCGUCAAAAGAUACUGGAAAAGACUUGCUCGUUGUUGAUUUAUCUGAAUCAAGCGGGGUGUUUCCGGGUCUACUCUUCACGAAAAAACCCGGUUGCUGAGGCGCUGGUAAAGUCACAGUAUUAUUGGUGAGCAUCACGGAAAUCGUUGACAUGGCUGGAUGCUUUACAGGAUCUUCUUGAACACAUAAAACACCGAUAUGGAUGCAUCGAACCACUUCACUAUUCUGGCAGUUAUCUACAAUGAUUGGAUCCACUAGGUCUAAUGCUGUUCCGUUUCUCCAAAGCCUCCAAGCCUAGAAUAUCGUCAAUCAGUCAAACAAUUAUUGCAACUAUUGCUUUUUGUAGGAUGAGGAGAGGCAUAUAUAAAAAUCAUUUCCUUUAAACUUACAUGUGUCACCAAGUCUUGUGCGUCAUCUGUCUCGUUGAAGCUGUUAUUCUUCCUACCGCUUAUAAUCUCAAGAACUAACACUCCGAAACUAUAGACAUCAGAUUUCAUUGAGAACUGGCCACGCAUUGCAUAUUCAGGAGACAUGUAACCGCUGGAAUCCACAUCAAAACUUUACUAUGUUGUCAAAAUAAAAUGUUCAACAUGUGAGAACUGAGAAGUCAAGUGGAAGACUUACUAGGUACCAACUAUUCUGAGUGUGUUCUGCUGGGUUUGAUCCAUUUCAAAGAUCCUUGCCAUUCCAAAAUCUGCAAUUUUAGGAUUCAUAUCUGCAUCCAGGAGAAUGUUACUCACUUUGAGGUCACGGUGUAUGAUCGUUAGUCGUGAAUCUUGAUGAAGAUAUAGGAUCCCUCUAGCAAUCCCACCAAUGAUCUGGUAUCGCUGUGUCCAGUACAGCUGACUUUUCUUUGCAGGAUCUGUGCACAUACGUGAAUAGUAGCUCUAAAGAUUUGCAACCUCAUGUUUCAAGACUAGUUAACGAAACAAUGAAGAAAAUCAUCAAAUGCAACUGACCAAAUAGGAAGUUAUCAAGGCUUUUAUUUGCCACAUACUCAUAGACCAAUAUCCUUUCUUCUCCUUCUAUAGAAAAUCCGAGAAGCCUAACCAGAUUUUUGUGCCGAAGAUUUGCAACAACUGCAACCUCUGUCUUGAAUUCCGCGUCACCUUGUUCUGAUGUUUUCGAAAGUCUCUUCACUGCAACUUCGGUUCCAUUUGAAAAUGUACCCUAUCCAUUUUUAUUUAUCAUCAUUAUCUCGUUAUCCAAAUUUGUUGGAACAAAAAAAACAAUCGAUAACUUAUAUAGUAUAUAAUAUAUACCUUGUAAACAUCACCAAAUCCACCUCGACCAAUUUUAUUAUCCUCUGAAUAAUCAUUUGUUGCAGCUUGAAUUGCUCCAUAAUCAAGUUGCAGAGACUCUGAGGUUGUUUUAUCAUCUUCUCUUGCACAAUAAAUGUCUUAGUAAUCAGAAAGAAAAAUAAAGAAGAAGAUGAUAAUUAAUGACAUUAAUCAAACCUAACUAAGAUUGUUAAUCUUUACCAUCAAGAGCAGGUGCUGUGCCAUAAGUCUUCUUUGCCCUCUUUGCAAAGAAACAAUAACCAGCUAUGAAAAGCCGAACAACCACUAUAAUAGGCACAACAAUGGCUACCACUAACACUGUUGAAUUCCUACUUUUCCCUGUUUUCCGAAGAUCAUUUGCUUAAGAUAAGAAAAUAGUAGACGCUAACCGAGCUAAGAUCAAGUAAACAGGGCAAAAAACAGAGGAAGAAGAAAGUGUUCACCAGGUAGUGAAGGAGAUGUCAACGGAGGCGUAGACCCUGGAAACCGCAUCGGCGGUGGUGGUGGUGGUGGUGGUGUUCCAAUGGCGGUUUCGUUGUAGAACGCGUAAAGCUCAUACCUUGAAUUACAAAUUGGCCAAAACUAUCUUGCUCCAAUUUUAAAAAGUGAUAUUCUAUUGAUGGUACUUAUCAGACAGCUGAAGCAGUCUUGUCUUGUAAGAUCAGGAGUGCACUGAACCAACCAGUAAAAAGUCUGGAGUGCGGUGAUAAGCCCUACCGUGUGUAUGUGAGACAGAGGCGCUCUCGUGUGGAAACAGGGGAUGGCACGUGCGAGAAUUAAAUGAUGCUAGCCGUUGGAUGGAAGAAGAAGGAUAAUUGUUGAUCAAGCAAGUGGGAGUCAGCUUCUAGAAACUCUUAGCUUUUAUCUAUAAAUAAGAAGUCUCGGGUGUGAGAUCAGUCAUGCAGAAUUUUAUGUACAACUUCUCCUGCGUGGGAUUUAAGGGUAGUGAUCUAGAAGGUAUGAUGUUCUAGAUCUAUACUUGUAUGUAAUUCUGUAUUAAGAACUCUAUGAAUCCGUACUCAGUUCUUAACAUGCGGUCAAUUCGGUCUUUAUCGUAGAGAAUCUUCUAGAACUGUUGGCUGCUACCAUGGCAGCUUGGUUCAUAUUAGAUAACACCAAACCUAUAAACUGGUCUCUUUGAUUUUGAAUAGAAGAAAUAUUAUUGGGGUUCCUCAUGAUAUGUUCUCCUUCGUAUGUAACUGUCGAUAGAAUAUUCUUGUGAGAGUAUCUAAGUAUGCACUCCUCAUAAUAGAACACAGCUUCUCUCUGAUUUGGACACCGAGUUAACGAUUCGUUAACGGAGAAGGCAACGCAGUUACGGCAAACUUCGGGCGAGAGGUCUCCGCGGCAAAGGAAAAGUCCGGUGACCCUGUCGGGGGUUUGUCCCACCGUGGCGUUUUGGAAUCCGGUGGAAUAAGAGGCGUUACGGGAAGAUAGAGAGGACAAAAGGGUUUUGAGAUUGGUGGAGUAAGUGCUGUUACUUGUGUAAGUUGUCGUAUUUGGACAAUUAUGAUUUAGGUAAAAAGGAUCUUGAGCAGAAGCUCUGAAGCUAGUGAGGAAUGAGAAAAGGAAAAGGAAGGUGAAGGAGAAGAAAGAAGACAUGUUUUUUUUUCGACUUCCUUGAUUUGAGUUUCACAUCAUGGAGCUUCUUCCAUUUAUAAAUUGAAUUUUUUUCUUUUCUGCUGAUUAACGUGAAGUAUACGAUGGUUUGUGACGAUAAGUCGUCAAUCAAAGUUAAUGUUAAAGAGAGAUGAGAUUGAGAGUGAUCUUAGUAGGCCUAUUUGUAAAGUUCAUUGUUUCCAGACACAUCUUCACAGUUAAACCUUCCACUGAGCGUGUUGAUUUGUUCAGAUUCUGAAUCAAUGAAUGCUACAAAAUGAAUCAACUAGGGUUGUGAAAUUACUGUUUUAACUUAUAACUGUUGGUUUGUUACUUGUCUGGUAAGCAAGUUUAACGGUGCUGUCUUAUUUUAAGUCUCGGCGCCAAGCAGAACAAUAUUUUAUUUUAUAUCUUUGUCGGAAAUAUAUUGAUAGACGUCAAAACUUAGAAAUUUAUAAUUCCAUUUUCUCUACUUAUCGCUUCCAGCUGUUUUAGUCUAACAUUUAAAUAACAAGAAAAGUUGAUGUUACUCGUCUCGGUGACUUUGACUUUCAAGAUAUUGUAUUAGUUAUUUAAUUUACAACAAAAAAAAAAAGAAAAAAAAAAAAAACCUUUGACGUACUAGAUGGUUUCACAUUUCAUUUAUAUCACCACUUUACAAAUCAUGCAAAAUCGCACCUUCACAAUCCCACAGUACUCUGUUUACAAGAUCAUUGGAGGUAUUGCUGAAGCGAUUCUAGAAUGAUUCACAACUCAUAAUCAUACAUUGUGACUUCAAAGCAGGUAAUAUCCUCUUAGACGCUGAAAUGAACUCCAAAGUUACAGAUUUUGGAUUGGCCAAAUUUUUAGAAUGAAUUAAACUGUAAUGCCAACAUUCUAAGUGUUCUCUCCCUAUAUCAUUUUUUUCAUUCAGAGAGGUAAUGAAUUUUUUAAUCGGUGGUGAUGUCGACACUAGACUGAUUAUUCUUUAAUUAAAAAUCAAAACAAAUUACAUAUGGUUUUAACAAACCAAACCAAAUCAGACUAAACAACUCGUAGGGAUGAUCACGUCUAGAUAUAUGUAAAUAUAUGCUUAAACUUGAUUACAAGCUUGAGGUUAACAUCAUAAUUAGCGCAUAAUUAGCGCGGAUAUAAAUCAGUGAUCGCUGGAAAAGACUUGGUCGUGGUAGACUGAGGUCCUUUACAUGUCUACUUUGAAUGAAAAACCCUUGUUGCCGAGGAACUGGUAAAGUCACAGUAUUACUAGUGAGCAUCAUGAAAAUUGUUGAUACUGCCGGACGCUUUACAAGAUCUUUGAAGUCGAUCUUGUAAAGCAUCGUUUUGCUAAUUAACGAAGCUUAUUAAUUGAAACAUAACCAUGUCUAGUGACUUAGCGAUGUGCCUAAAUUGGCAUAGUCAGCAAGAAUUUAAGAUUUAAUAUAAAAUCAACAAAAAUUUUAGUAUCUAUUUUACUAGAUGCAAAGUUGAGGCAUUUUUUUCAACGAAAAUGCAUAGUUGAGAUUUUUAUAACAUGUUUCCCGAUUCUAGACUAAAAAGCAUGUACAAUGAACAAAGUUUUCUUUCAGUUAACUUUUCCAUUGUUCACUUUCUUUAUGUUCUCGGCAAGCUAAGAAAGUGAUGCUCUUCUUUUUUAACUUUUAUAAGUUCUCUCUCCCUAUCUCAAUUUUUCCCUUCAUAGGUAAUGAAUUUUCAAUCGGUGGUGAUGUUGAUAGCUGAGACUAAAUUAAUUAUUCUUGAACUAAGAAUCAAACCAAAUUACAUGUGGUUUUAACAAACCAAAUCAAAACUAACAAUAAACAUAGUUCAUCAAGUCUAGAAAUAUGAAAUAUAUGCUUAAACUUGAUUUCAAUCGUAAGGUUUAAUUACACCAUAUUCAACGAGGGUAUAAAUCAGAUAUCGAUGAAUCGUCAAUAGCUACUGGAACAGACUUGCUGGUCAUUGAUUGAUCUGAAUCAAGCGGGUUUGUUCCAGGUAUACUCCUUCCAAAAAACCCUGGUUGCUGAGGCAUUGGUAAAGUCAUUGUAUUACUAGUGAGCAUCACGGAAAUGGUUGACAAGGCAGGACGCUCUACUGGACUUUCUUGAACACAUAAAAGACCGAUAUGGAUGCAUCGAACCACUUCACUAUUUUGGCAGUCAUCUACAAUGAUUGGAUCCACCAGGUCUAAUGUUGUUCCGUUUCUCCAAAGCCUCCAAGCCUAGAAUAUCAAUGAGUCAAACAAUUAUUGCAACUAUUGCUUUUUGUAGGAUGAGGAGGGGCAUAUAUAAAAAUCAUUUCCUUUAAACUUACAUGUGUCACCAAGUCUUGUGCGUCAUCUGUCUCGUUGAAGCUGUUAUUCUUCCUACCGCUUAUAAUCUCAAGAACUAAUACUCCAAAACUGUAGACAUCAGAUUUCAUUGAGAAUUGGCCACGCAUCGCAUAUUCAGGAGACAUGUAACCGCUGGAAUCCACAUCAAAAAGUUUAAUAUGUUAUGAGAAUAAAAUGUUCAACGAAUUUCAACAUGUUGUCAAGUGGAAGACUUACUAGGUACCAACUAUUCUGCUUGUGUUCUGCUGGGUUUGAUCCAUUCCAAAGAUCCUUGCCAUUCCAAAAUCAGCAAUUUUAGGAUUCAUAUCUGCAUCCAGGAGAAUGUUACUCGCUUUAAGGUCACGGUGUAUGAUUGUGAGUCGUGAAUCUUGAUGAAGAUA